UAAUGAUACCUGUGCCUGCUCCAUCUCUCUCUUUCUUCUCCUGCCUUGAUGUCUUGAAGGUCAUUUGUUCUAGAAGAUGAUAUGCCUAUAACAAGGAGGAAGGUCACCCAGCCUGCACCAGAUAUUUGCACUGCCAGAGCACCUCUCAAGAAUGCAGAUUUAAAGAUGUCACUGGGGCCGGGCUCACACCUGUCAUCCCUGGACUUUGUGCAGCCAAGACGGCUGGACCACUCAAGCCCACCCAGCAAGGGCCCGGUCAACAGCUCUCAGAUGAAUAGAGGUGAACACCAAAAUCAGAGGAAAAGGUGGCUGGUGUUCUUCCUGGAACAUUUCAUUUUUGAACCAGAGAAGGCUCAUCUUGAAGCGUUAAUAAAGAAGCUUUUAUUUGU
ensembl:lncRNA novel transcript